CCAGGGCAGGAACUUGCACCUCUACGUGGCGCUCUGUAACCAGUAGCCGUCUUCAUACGGUGAAGCCAAGCAAGU
rnacentral:ribozyme from 1 species